AGACAGGCUGCCAGGCAGGGACUUCUUCUGAAUUACUAGGAAAGAAGACCGCGAUCAGCACAUUUCCAUAUGUUUUUACGGUGCUGUCUUUAUAUGUGUAUGCAAAUCAGUAUGUAAAAUCAAUUCAAGUUAGCUGAAAUUUGAGAGCACUGUUUUGUUUUAUUUCAGACAAAGAAAAUCUACACUUUGAGGCAACCACUGACAAGGGCCAUGCCGUGGAAGGUGCUCCCUGGAUUGAGAGUAUGGAAGGAGCUACUAGCCAGGAAGACCCAGUCUCCAACAUGCAUGGGAUUCAAGCCAGCUGAUGCAGUGCUACCAGACCCAAGAGGCACAGGCUGAGCAGAAGGGAUGGCAUUCAGUGUAAGCGUGGCUAUAGACUGUCCAUGCGUGUUUGUUUGUGCAUCUGCCUGGG
rnacentral:lncRNA from 1 species